rnacentral:rRNA from 1 species
GCAUCCCUAGUUCGGAUUGUAGGCUGCAACUCGCCUACAUGAAGCUGGAAUUGUUAGUAAUCACAGGUCAGCAUACUGUGGUGAAUACGUUCCCGGGCCUUGUACACACCGCCCGUCACACCAUGGGAGCCGGUAAUACCCGAAGUCAGUAGUCCAACCACGUGAGGACGCUGCCGAAGGUAGGAUUGGCGACUGGGGUGAAGUCGUAACAAGGUAAC